CCCUAACUCAGCCUGUCUCUCCAUGGUUCCCUCACUCUGGCUGUCUCUCCAUGGUUCACUCACUCAGCCUGUCUCUCCAUGGUUCCCUCACUCAGCCUGUCUCUCCAUGGUUCCCUCACUCAGCCUGUCUCUCCAUGGUUCCCUCACCCAGCCUGUCUCUCCAUGGUUCCCUCACCCAGCCUGUCUCUCCAUGGUUCCCUCACUCAGCCUGUCUCUCCAUGGUUCCCUCACUCAGGCUGUCUCUCCAUGGUUCCCUCACCCAGCCUGUCUCUCCAUGGUUCCCUCACUCAGCCUGUCUCUCCAUGGUUCCCUGGCUGGCUGUCUCUCCAUGGUUCCCUCACUCAGCCUGUCUCUCCAUGGUUCCCUCGCUCAGCCUGUCUCUCCAUGGUUCCCUCGCUCAGCCUGUCUCUCCAUGGUUCCCUCACUCAGCCUGUCUCUCCAUGGUUCCCUCACUCAGCCUGUCUCUCCAUGGUUCCCUCACUCAGCCUGUCUCUCCAUGGUUCCCUCACCCAGCCUGUCUCUCCAUGGUUCCCUCACCCAGCCUGUCUCUCCAUGGUUCCCUCACUCAGCCUGUCUCUCCAUGGUUCCCUCACUCAGGCUGUCUCUCCAUGGUUCCCUCACCCAGCCUGUCUCUCCAUGGUUCCCUGGCUGGCUGUCUCUCCAUGGUUCCCUCACUCAGCCUGUCUCUCCAUGGUUCCCUCACUCAGCCUGUCUCUCCAUGGUUCCCUGGCUGUCUCUCCAUGGUUCCCUCACUCAGCCUGUCUCUCCAUGGUUCCCUCACCCAGCCUGUCUCUCCAUGGUUCCCUCACCCAGCCUGUCUCUCCAUGGUUCCCUCACUCAGCCUGUCUCUCCAUGGUUCCCUCACUCAGGCUGUCUCUCCA